GCGGGGUGACGUCCAAGAGGAGCAGAUCCUGCACUUGCGAGGAGCCUUCGCCCGUGAGGAUGGCGGCCUGUACGGCAGC
rnacentral:SRP_RNA from 13 species